UACGAAGGGGGCUAGCGUUGCUCGGAAUUACUGGGCGUAAAGGGCGCGUAGGCGGAUACUUAAGUCGGGGGUGAAAGCCCGGGGCUCAACCUCGGAAUUGCCUUCGAUACUGGGUAUCUUGAGUUCGGGAGAGGUGAGUGGAAUGCCGAGUGUAGAGGUGAAAUUCGUAGAUAUUCGGCGGAACACCAGUGGCGAAGGCGACUCACUGGCCCGAUACGGACGCUGAUGCGCGAAAGCGUGGGGAGCAAACAGG
rnacentral:rRNA from 1 species